AGUUCAUAUAAAGUAAAGACCUGGGCUGAGAAUAGAAAGUGAGUAAGGAUGCAGGUGUGUAUAUGCCUUUCAAAUACUUGGUUGGAAACAGAAGACUGUUCCUGUCUUGCUCAUAUGGCCGGUUGUGAGUGAAUCAACCCCAGAAUCUCACCCUCAGAUGUACUUUCGGGGACCACUUCUGUCACCACUUCUCUGAGGUGAGAAGAGAAGCACCUCAAGAAAGCAGAGCUUAAGAAAGAUUUGUGUGCAGUGACUUAUUAAGAGAGUACUCUUCAAAAGAAAGGAAAGCAGGAAAGGGCAGAGGAAGAAGAUAGGCAAAGAUGUGAUCUCAAAAGAAGUCUAGCCUUAGCUUGAUCCCAUAGGGAGAUCUGGGAUGUGAAUGGUACCACAGAAUUAUUCCUUUUAUGGGACAGUCCCUCUGCAAGACCAAAAUGGAAUGGCUUGGCUUUUGUAACCUUGUAUUUGUUACUUAACUGUGUGGGCCUCCCAAGUUGGUUGAUUCUUAUAACCCAGAUAUUACUGGGCAAAGAGACUCACUGACAGGAGUUCCAAUUUUAAUUAGGUUCCUAGUGUUCCAUUGUAGGAUUGCACUUGUAUUGGUUUCCAAUUUUUUUCUAUGGUAAACCAAAUGUUUACAAUAUAAAUCAUUCUUUAAAUAAUGGAGCACAUGUAAUUUUUUUUAAAGCAAUAACAGUUGGCAAAUAUGAAAAAACCCUAGAUCAUCAGCUUUUUACUGUGUAAUGCCUCUACAGUUAAGGAUAAUUGAGUUAAACUUUGGUUUAAAAGAAAGAAGUCUGUUGAAGUUGUGUGGAUCUAGAGAUGAGAAAUAGAUAUUAAGAUGGAAUCAAAUAUGUAAGGAAAAUCUUGAUAACUAAAAAAGUAGAAGUUUAAAUUUGUUAGAGAAUAAAUAUAGUUCUUAUGUUUAGGUAGCCACAUGAAUUUUCUAAUCCCUUAAUUAAUAUAUUGAAAUGUAAGGCUUGGCUAAAAAGUAGGUUGAGGGAUCCUCUUAUUGGUUCAAGUAUGUGAAAUCAGACCUAUAUGCCACAAUUAGGCCAUAAUAAGUAAUAUAAGAAUGUGUAUAUACUCAUAAAUGAAAAAGAGGCAGCACAAAAGAAAAAAAAUACUCUCCAAAAAUAAUUAAGUUAAGGGAGAUGGUUUAUAAAAAGAAGAAAAGAAAGUUGUAUGUAAAGCUAACACUAUGGAAAAUUGAAAUAAAAAUUGUAUGCUUUCUUCCAAGAUUAUUGAGGACGUAUCAUAAGGUAUCUCUGUGGAAAAGUGAAAUACUUAGAAAAAAGUAUUUUGAAAAACAAUACCUCUUACCUAUAUGGAUGUAUAUAUGAUUAUAUAAACAGAAAAGAUCAUCUCUUUCCAUAAAAUUCAUAGAAGCUCUUAUCCCUAAGGGAGAGAAAAAAAAAGCUGUAUUUAAGGAGCUAUUAACGUUACUGGUAGUGACUUUUUUUAAAUCUGGGUAGAGGGUUGUGUAUGUUAUUUCUAAUAUUAUGUUUUCAGAACACACCUUUAGAAGUCUAAUGUGUUUCCACAUAAAGAUAUAAUUAAAAAAUAGGUUUCAAUACAACAAAAUAAUUUUAAAUAACCAAUAAAUUAAAAAGAAAUCAUAGUUAUAAAUGUAAAGGAGGAACAAAAUAGUGUUGCCCAGCUUAUCUGAACCAUGAACUGGUUCAGCUUACCAAUUCCAAAAUAUUUAAAAUAGAAGCAUUCUAAGUUAAUUUAUAAUUUAAUAUAACAGGCUAUUGUCUGGUAAAUCAGCAUCUAAAAUUUAAACUCAUUGCACAACAGAAUUUGGAAUAAGAAAUAUUUGAUAAUUUUAUGUUACGGACAUGAGAACAUCAUACUGAGGCUUCCAUGAUGUUCGACCACAUUUAGGAAAUGUAG